GUAAGACAUUACGUACACAACUUUAAUCAAUUUUUUUGAAAUUUUGUAUGUUGUCCUUUUUGGUAAGUUGUAGAUAACUCUUUGACACGCAAGAGAUAUAGUUUAAUCGGAUCAAUUGUAUUUUGAUGGGCUUAAAAACAAAUAUCUUUGUUUGCAAGGAUUAAAUUCAUGAUGUAAUUUAUGAUUUUAAAUUUUAAACAAGAUAUCAAGUACUGCUCAAAUGGCACUUUAUUUGGGCAGCUAGAAUUUUCAUAUGUGGUUCAUGAGGUAUCAUAUUCGGCAAUGGCAUCUCAUAUCAAUUAGCAAAAAAUAAACUUAUACCAAAGCCCUAUUAAAAAAGAAGAGAUAACUCUUUUUCUUGAGCUUUUUGUGCAAGUUGUUCUCUUUGUACAAAUCCAUCCCAAAAAAGAGCAUAUUACUUAUCAAGGAGAGGAGUCCUGUUUCCCUCGUAAUCAAAAGACAAGCUCCGAGUAGCCUUAGAAGUUACAACGAUUUGCAAGGUGGGGGGAUUUCUUUAUUUAUUUAUUUUUGGUUUCUAAUCAAAGUUGGAGCAUUAAUUGACAUUCUAAAAUGUAACAUUUGUUAAAGGGUUAAUUUUUAAAUCGUUGGAAACGUCAAUUAACUCAUAAAAUCCCCUAAUUAAUCCUACUAGAGAGUUACUCAUCCCCUAGUAAAAGCAAGGCAUUGUUGAAUUAAAUAUGUUAUAAAAACAGAGAGAAAUGGCAGAGAGAUUUAGUGAAGAAGGACAGAAAAGGCAAAGGCAAAAAGUGAUGGGAAGUCAGAUUAAAAUAAGGAAGGUAAUGUGUUGGUGGUUGGUAAUAAUAAUGGUAAUGGUGGGGAUGAUGGAUAACGGGGUGCGUGAAUGUAAUGCUCAGUGGAUAUCGUAUUUUGAGUGUGCAUGGGAAUGUUAUCUGGUGGAAGGAGCGAUUCAACAGCUACUCUGCCUUACUGACUGCAUGAAGCGCUGCACUUGGAGAACCCGCAAAUGCAAAGCUGAUCCCAAAUAUUUGAAACAUCAAAGAAAGCCACCAAAAGAAUGCCCUCCUGAAUUCCCAAAAGGUUUUAACUGCCCCUAGAAGGAGACGAAGAAGAGAGUUAUGAUUCACGAACGACGAGACACUUGUGAAUCGGCUGUGCUGGUUGCCCUGUCUCACUAGUCUACCACACGAUACAUUACAAUUAUUGAAGCAAUAUCAUAUAUCUCAUCUCUACUCUCCUUUCCCAUGAUUGUCAGAAAUAAAUAUCUUCCUAUAAAGAGUUAUAUACCAUAAACUUCCUUCUUGUUCGUAUCUCCUGUCUCCUAAUUUAAAUUUGUUUUGUUUAUUUCUGUUGAAGUAGAAAUUUUUGAAAACUUAACAAUCAAGUUAUAUUUCAUGAGGUGGAACAUUAAUAUUUUAGGAAACACAUUUAUGAACGCACAACGAAAGGGUUGUAUAGAAUGGGUGAAAACAAAACAUCCAACUUCGUUUAUUAAGUCUUACACACUAACAUCGACUUAAAAAAGCAAACAGCAAAUUUGCUCACAAACAGAAGCAUCACAAUAGAGGA